GAAUUUUUUUUUUCCUUGCUCAGUCUGCCAAAUUAGCUUGCCAGGGAUCAACCAAGUGCUAUGAUUCUUUCAGUCCAGAUCAGCACAAGGCUGCUUCUGAAGACCUGUGUGCCACCUGCAAAUCUGUCGUGGCUGAUAUCCGCGCCUUGGACCGAGAUCAGGAUCUUCAGAAUGUGAUCAGGAGCCUUCUCAAAAAUGCCUGCUCAAAAACGGGACAAUGUCAAGAUCUGGUAAGUUGUCUAAGGAGUGUGUU